UUUAAGCUAAUUUUUUUCUUAUUUCUAAAGCAAAACAAAACCCAAACUCAUUGUAAUCCUCUUUGGAAUUGCAUUACAUGUAUAUGUUCAGUUGUGAAGGCAUGACAUUUUAUGAUAGUAAAUCUUAUUCUGGAACAUGGUAUGUUGCUUCAUUUUAUUCGUGUUUUUUUGAGACGGAGUUUUGCUUUUAUUGCCCAGGCUGGAGUGUAGUGGCGCAAUCUUGGAUCACCACAACCUCCGUCUCCCAGGUUCAAGCGAUUCUCCCGCCUCAGCCUCCUGAGUAGCAAUUACAGGGAGCAUUUCCUGAAGACGUAGUCAUGCAGCACGUCAGCAGCUCCCAGAGCAGCCAGCGCCAUGUCCAGUGGCCUGGGGCCUGCCCCGGCGCGGGCGAGGAGCAGCCAGCGUGCUCCCAGCCGUCCCUGCCCCUCACACUGCCAUCCCCCAGCCACCAACUACAGCAGCUGAUGCAGGUCCAGACCCAGAGUCCCACGCAGCCCAGUCCGGGGCCGGGGCAGGCCUUGCAGAAUGUGCGUGCAGGUGCCCCUGGCCCUGGGCUGGGCCUCUGCAGCAGCAGCCCUACAGGGGACUUCGUGGAUGCCAGCGUGCUGGUGAGGCAGAUCAGCUUGAGCCCCUCCAGUGGUGGACACUUUGUGUUUCAGGAUGGGUCAGGGCUCACCCAGAUCGCCCAGGGAGCCCAGGUUCAGCUCCAGCACCCGGGUACGCCCAUCACAGUCCGAGAGCGGAGACCCUCCCAGCCCCACACACAGUCAGGGGGCACCAUCCACCACCUGGGACCCCAGAGCCCUGCAGCCGCGGGUGGGGCCGGCCUGCAGCCCCUGGCCAGCCCAAGCCACAUCACCACGGCUAACUUGCCACCGCAGAUCAGCAGCAUCAUCCAGGGCCAGCUGGUUCAGCAGCAGCAGGUGCUGCAGGGGCCGCCGCUGCCCCGGCCCCUGGGCUUCGAGAGGACGCCCGGCGUGCUGCUCCCCGGGGCUGGGGGCGCAGCGGGGUUUGGGAUGACGUCCCCACCCCCGCCCACCAGCCCUUCCAGGACUGCCGUGCCCCCAGGCCUUUCCAGCCUCCCACUCACGUCUGUGGGGAACACGGGAAUGAAGAAGGUUCCCAAGAAGUUAGAGGAGAUUCCCCCAGCCUCUCCGGAGAUGGCACAGAUGAGGAAGCAGUGCCUGGACUAUCAUCACCAGGAGAUGCAGGCUCUGAAGGAGGUCUUCAAGGAGUAUUUGAUUGAACUGUUUUUCUUGCAACACUUUCAAGGGAACAUGAUGGAUUUCUUAGCUUUCAAGGAGAGACUGUAUGGACCAUUACAAGCAUAUCUUAGGCAGAAUGAUUUGGACAUUGAAGAAGAGGAAGAGGAGCACUUUGAAGUCAUUAAUGAUGAGGUAAAGGUUGUGGCCAGAAAGCACGGGCAGCCUGGGACUCCUGUUGCCAUAGCAACCCAGCUACCGCCGAGGACUUCUGCGGCUUUUCCAGCCCAGCAGCAGCCGCUCCAGCCCCUGGCACCCACCACUGUACUGUCUGUCUCUGCGGAUUGGAAUGCACUUCUCCAGCGACCUAACAAAUACAUAUGGGGACUCCAGUACCUGGAGAUGUGAAUUCCAUAAAAAUGGAAGCAUCUAAGAGGCAGUGAACACUGGCGCCCACAGGAGAACCAGGUGCAUCAGCGCAUUGCGGAGCUGAGGAAAGCAGGUCUGUGGUCCCAGAGGCGUCUGCUGAAGCUGCAGGAGGCCCACGACCCAAGUCCCACUGGGACUAUCUGCUGGAGGAGAUGCAGUGGAUGGCCACAGACUUUGCCCAGGAGAGGUGGAAGGUGGCCUCUGUGAAGAAGAUGGUCAGAGCUGUGGCCCGGCAGCUGCAGGACAGGACGCGCAGGGAGGCCGGGGCCAGGAGGGAGGAGCCGAGCAGGCUGAGGCAGACGUCACCUGUACUACCAGAGAAAUCGAGCGUCCCUGGUCUAGUACUGCGCAGGUAAAGAUUCCAGCAUCUUGGAAGCAAGUGCUCCACUGGAAAAUAAAAGCCACGUGGAGCACUUGAUUAGACUCCAGAAACAGAAACUGCAGCUGCUCCCACCACCCCCACCACCACAGGCCCUGCCCGGGGCACAGCCAACCACACAAGUGCAAGUGCAGCCGUCACCCGCCUACCACAGCAGAGCCCCCAGCUCACCACAGUCACGGCCCCGAGACCCAGAGCCCUGUUGAUGGGCACCACCAUGGCCAACCUCCAGGUAGCCCGGCUUACUCGAGUUUCCACCUCCCACCUGCAAGGCCCAAGACUGACGUCAGCGCUGACGUACCAGAUGGCCCAGGUUGCUGUGGCCACGCCCCCUGUGGUGUCUGUCCUGGCAGUUGUGGUGCUGUCAGCCAGGGUCACAGUGCUUCCAUCAACGCAACGGGAUCAGUGUUGUGAUAAGGCAGCUGCAAAAAGCGGCAGGUAGGCAGCCACCUUCGCCUCACCAAACUCGAAACAACUCACUUGAGUGAGUUGCAUCAAACCUUUCUAAAUUUCUCAUUCUAGAAGUUGCUGAGUUGUUCUGCCAUGUGUUAACUUUUUUUUCUUAUCAGUAAAAUCUUUUAUUUGGUUUAUAUUUCAAAUGUAAUUUAAAAAGUCUAUAAGACAGGAAAUUCGAUAAUAUGAAAGCAGGGAGAAACUAAGUCGCACCAUUUAGCUAAGCUCAGGGACAACGUUCAUUUAUAAUAAAUCAAACAUUUGAUUUUUUUCAUGCC
ensembl:lncRNA novel transcript